GGAAAUCGCAGCGGUGAAUUCUCGAACUAAUAAACGUGAAAGGACAAAAGUUUUUCCUUGAAGAAAAUCUCCACAGCUGUCAAGACUGCCCACUACUCCCAACUCCAGCUGCCAACUGGUCCUCCUGUCUCCACAGUCUCCUCCUGUACUGGACUGCACAAGAGAUUUACAAAGAAGGCACAGACAAAGAACACAGGGAAUCCAUCCUGAACCUGCCAGCGAGGUGGUGGUGGUGGUGCGAAAGCCCAAAACUGGUGAAAAGAUGUUUGCACUUCACGCUUUACAGAGCUUUCACAGGACCACUUCCAGAUCCUGACAUCCUGGCAUCGGGAGAAAAACUACACCAGCUGGAGUCCCAACCACUUAUCACACUUAUC